GGCCAGGCUUUUCUUGUUUUGAUGGCGAGCUAAAGAAAGGAGCAUCUAGUCCAAGGAGUGUUCUUGGAGGAUUCCAGCCAGAAACCCCACCACCUGUUCGGUUUGGGCGGGAGGUCAACCAACUGCAGCAGUAAUUCGGUGAACACAGAUGAGGCGCUAGCUGUCCAAAGUCGGGACCCAGGGUGGACCACUCGUAUGUGCAUCAGUUGGGGACGUCUCUGCGCUUCUGACCUGUCUCCACUCAAGGAAGCUGCUUCUAAAGGAUCAACCUGAAGGCUGAAUCAGCUUCUGAAUAAUCUUCACAUAUUUCCCGAGCCACAUCCUCAACGCCAGAUCUCAGCGCUCAGCCUCCCUUUGGCUCCAGACCCCUUUCCGCAGCCCUCCACCCAACUCUCCCCGAGCCCGGCCCCGAGCGUCGCCCCCUCCGGUGCAGCCUCGCCGGGUUGCAAGCGUCACAGCAGGAUGUGCCGGAGCAGGGCAGGUAUCUACAGUGCAGCGUGCUCAGGGCGGCUCUGCGGGGUGAAAAGCCAGCAGGGUUCUGAUGAGCUCUGGGGUUGGGGGUGGGGGGUAGUCAUCCUUGGCUUCCACAACUCGGCAGAAAGGGAAGGAUGAGAGGAAACAGGGAUGUUCGAGGGGAUGGGCGUGCGCUUGCAAAUCUUCACAGCAGCAACAUGCAAGCAAGGAUAAGGGAGGGUGACGAGUGGGUGAUGGAGAAGCGGCGAGCUGAAAGAACGUGGAAAUGGCGUCGAGCGGCGGAGCGGAUUUGCCUCACUUACUUAAUGCACUGCUUAUGACAGCUAAAGGGGAAAGUGCACUGGAAAUUGGUGAGGAAAAAUGACUGGUGUUCUACCGCUUGCAAUCUUGCAAAUGAAUGCCUUUUAGCCACGGCGUGUGCGAGCGAGGGGGUUUUAGAGAACGCAGAGGGAGUACACGGACAACGUAGUCGUGCAAGCAAUCACUUUUGUGUUCAUGUGGAAGGUGCACAUGAACACUGCAAAAACUGAAAUCUAAGUAAGAUGAAAUAUCUCAAAUAAGGGUGAUAUUUGUUUAUUUUCUGUCUGAUAAGAUCAUUCUUCUCACUAAGCAGAUUUUAUGUUAGAGUGUUUUACUUGUUUUAAGUGUUUUGGUCCUAAAUGAUCUCAGUAAGAUAUUACAGCUUGUUGCUGAGAUUUGAUGACCUAUAUUGAGUAAAACAUGCUUGAAACUAGAAUAUCAACUGUUGCAAAGCUGUGUCAUCAACACUCACAAGUAUAAAAGUACUUUUUUAAAGUAAUCAU